rnacentral:rRNA from 1 species
UACGUAGGAGGCGAGCGUUGUCCGGAGUUACUGGGCGUAAAGGGUGCGCAGGCGGCGGUUCGCGUGGCGAGAUGAAAUCUCCUGGCUUACCUGGGAGGAUGGUCGCCCAGACGGGAUCGCUUGAGGGUCGGAGAGGGGCGUGGAAUUCCAGGUGUAGCGGUGAAAUGCGUAGAUAUCUGGAGGAACACCGGUGGCGAAGGCGGCAUCCUGGACCAACACUGACACUGAGGAGCGAAAGCCAGGGGAGCAAACGGG